ensembl:misc_RNA 7SK 7SK RNA
AGAUGCAGUGCCCUGGCUGCAACAUCUGCCACCCCACUGAUCCACAGGGUUGAUUCAGUUGAUCUGGCUGGCUAGGCAGGUGUCCCCUUCCUCCCUCACUGCUCCAUGUGUGUCCCUCCCAAAGCUGCACACUUACUCAGUGGAAGAGUAUGGCCUUCCCAGAAUAGCGAUGGACCAUCUUCAGCUGAGGGGAUGCGAACAGCUGUGCUCCCCUGCUAGAACCUCCAAACAAGCUCUUCCAGGUCCAUUCUAGCAGAUCAUAUGUUUGCUGCCCACCUGUGUUCUCUCUCUUAUUUCAGUACAUGAUCCUCAGCUUUUUAAA